rnacentral:rRNA from 1 species
GAUGAACGCUGGCGGCGUGCCUAAUACAUGCAAGUCGAGCGAACGGACGAGAAGCUUGCUUCUCUGAUGUUAGCGGCGGACGGGUGAGUAACACGUGGAUAACCUACCUAUAAGACUGGGAUAACUUCGGGAAACCGGAGCUAAUACCGGAUGAUAUUUUGAACCGCAUGGUUCAAAAGUGAAAGACGGUCUUGCUGUCACUUAUAGAUGGAUCCGCGCUGCAUUAGCUAGUUGGUAAGGUAACGGCUUACCAAGGCAACGAUGCAUAGCCGACCUGAGAGCGUGAUCGGCCGCACUGGAACUAGGACACGGUCCAGACUCCUACGGGAGGCAGCAGUAGGGAAUCUUCCGCAAUGGGCGGAAGCCUGACGGAGCAACGCCGCGUGAGGGAUGAAGGUCUUCGGAUCGUAAAGCUCUGUUAUUAGGGAAGAACAUAUGCGUAAGUAACUGUGCACAUCUUGACGGUACCUAAUCAGAAAGCCACGGCUAACUACGUG